UGGGGUAUUUGGAAAUAGCUACAGGAUGGUUUUUCAAUACCGUCAAUACUGUUGAAACAAUUUAUUUUAAGUUUUUCUAUACAUUUUAAUAUUUGUAUCUACUUUUUAAAGUAAAUACCAGCAGUCAACUUGUGCAACGUGUUCGGAGAUAAAGCAGAUGGCGUUCUUCAUUUCACCUGUCACAUUAUUUAACGUUAUGAAGUUUACCGUAGUUCCCCAGAACAGGUGAGUCAGUCAGGUGUUUGUUUGUGAAGAGCACAAUGGGAGAAAGCCGGAGCAGGUGAGUCCAGUCAGGUGUUUGUUUGUGAAGAGCACAAUGGGAGAAAGCCGGAGCAGGUGAGUCCAGUCAGGUGUUUGUUUGUGAAGAGCACAAUGGGAGAAAGCCGGAGCAGGUGAGUCCAGUCAGGUGUUUGUUUGUGAAGAGCACAAUGGGAGAAAGCCGGAGCAGGUGAGUCCAGUCAGGUGUUUGUUUGUGAAGAGCACAAUGGGAGAAAGCCGGAGCAGGUGAGUCCAGUCAGGUGUUUGUUUGUGAAGAGCACAAUGGGAGAAAGCCGGAGCAGGUGAGUCCAGUCAGGUGUUUGUUUGUGAAGAGCACAAUGGGAGAAAGCCGGAGCAGGUGAGUCCAGUCAGGUGUUUGUUUGUGAAGAGCACAAUGGGAGAGAGCCGGAGCAGGUGAGUCAGUCAGGUGUUUGUUUGUGAAGAGCACAAUGGGAGAGAGCCGGAGCAGGUGAGUCAGUCAGGUGUUUGUUUGUGAAGAGCACAAUGGGAGAAAGCCGGAGCAGGUGAGUCAGUCAGGUGUUUGUUUGUGAAGAGCACAAUGGGAGAAAGCCGGAGCAGGUGAGUCCAGUCAGGUGUUUGUUUGUGAAGAGCACAAUGGGAGAAAGCCGGAGCAGGUGAGUCCAGCUGUGUAUUGACAGGGGUCUCGUUUUAAAUGGAAAGUUAAGUGGUGUUUUGCUUCAAUAGAGUGAUCAGGGACGUGCAACUGUAGUUUUCCUUCACAUAAAAUACAUUAGUGCAACACAUUCAGCAGAAAACGGAUUCCUUUUCAUUGGAGGACAGCAGAAGUGUAAUGUUAUUUGGCUGCCAGCCACACAAGUAGGCUAAAUGAGUUUACAGUGAAAAAGCAAGGUAUGUUUUGCAACAACGAUGCAUGGCCAUCAUAUUAAAGUUCAUCAUAGAAUGUAGCCAGCUACAUUUCCUCAUG